UACGGGGGGGGCAAGCGUUGUUCGGAAUUACUGGGCGUAAAGGGCUCGUAGGUGGCCAACUAAGUCAGACGUGAAAUCCCUCGGCUUAACCGGGGAACUGCGUCUGAUACUGGAUGGCUUGAGUGUGGGAGAGGGAUGCGGAAUUCCAGGUGUAGCGGUGAAAUGCGUAGAUAUCGGGAGGAACACCGGUGGCGAAGGCGGUUCUCUGGGCCUGUACUGACGCUGAGGAGCGAAAGCGUGGGGGAGCGAACAGG
rnacentral:rRNA from 1 species